rnacentral:rRNA from 1 species
GAUGAACGCUGGCGGCGUGCCUAAUACAUGCAAGUCGAGCGAACAGAUGAGGAGCUUGCUCCUCUGACGUUAGCGGCGGACGGGUGAGUAACACGUGGAUAACCUACCUAUAAGACUGGGAUAACUUCGGGAAACCGGAGCUAAUACCGGAUAAUAUAUUGAACCGCAUGGUUCAAUAGUGAAAGACGGUUUUGCUGUCACUUAUAGAUGGAUCCGCGCUGCAUUAGCUAGUUGGUAAGGUAACGGCUUACCAAGGCGACGAUGCGUAGCCGACCUGAGAGGGUGAUCGGCCACACUGGAACUGAGACACGGUCCAGACUCCUACGGGAGGCAGCAGUAGGGAAUCUUCGGCAAUGGGCGAAAGCCUGACGGAGCAACGCCGAGUGAGUGAUGAAGGUCUUCGGAUCGUAAAACUCUGUUAUUGGGGAAGAACAAAUGUGUAAGUAACUAUGCACGUCUUGACGGUACCUAAUCAGAAAGCCACGGCUAACUACGUG